rnacentral:rRNA from 1 species
GACGAACGCUGGCGGCGUGCUUAACACAUGCAAGUCGAACGGUAAGGCCCUUCGGGGUACACGAGUGGCGAACGGGUGAGUAACGCGUGAGUAACCUGCCCUUGACUCUGGGAUAACAGAUGGAAACGUCUGCUAAUACCGGAUACUCAGCCUUGUGGGCAUCCACAAGGUUGGAAAGCUCCGGCGGUCAAGGAUGGACUCACGUCCUAUCAGCUAGUUGGUGGGGUAAUGGCCUAUCAAGGCGACGACGGGUAGCCGGCCUGAGAGGGCGACCGGCCACAUUGGGACUGAGAUACGGCCCAGACUCCUACGGGAGGCAGCAGUGGGGAAUAUUGCACAAUGGGCGCAAGCCUGAUGCAGCAACGCCGCGUGCGGGAUGACGGCCUUCGGGUUGUAAACCGCUUUCAGCAGGGACGAAGCGCAAGUGACGGUACCUGCAGAAGAAGCACCGGCUAACUACGUGCCAGCAGCCGCCGUAAAAC